rnacentral:rRNA from 1 species
CCUACGGGAGGCAGCAGUGAGGAAUAUUGGUCAAUGGACGGAAGUCUGAACCAGCCAUGCCGCGUGCAGGAAGACGGCUCUAUGAGUUGUAAACUGCUUUUGUACAAGGGUAAACCUGAAUACGUGUAUUCAGCUGAAAGUACUGUACGAAUAAGGAUCGGCUAACUCCGUGCCAGCAGCCGCGGGAAUACGGAGGAUCCAAGCGUUAUCCGGAUUUAUUGGGUUUAAAGGGUGCGUAGGCGGAUUGAUAAGUUAGUGGUGAAAUUUCCGGGCUUAACCCUGGAACUGCCUCUAAUACUGUUGAUCUAGAGAGUAGAAGCGGUAGGCGGAAUGUAUGGUGUAGCGGUGAAAUGCUUAGAGAUCAUACAGAACACCGAUUGCGAAGGCAGCUUACCAAUCUAUAUCUGACGUUGAGGCACGAAAGCGUGGGGAGCAAACAGGAUUAGAUACCCGGGUAGUC